GGGCGCGUAGCUCAGGGGUAGAGCACUGUGUUCACACCGCAGGGGUCAGAGGUUCAAAUCCUCUCGCGCCCA
rnacentral:tRNA from 1 species